AGUGGGAAGGAAUUGACAGGUGCAUAUCACCUCAUCAUCCUGGACACCACAGGAAGAUUAUAAUUGGCUUUCCUUUUACAAAGAGGGAGAAACAAGGAUCCUAGAGUGAGUGAUGCUGAGAGGUUGUCUGGGAAGCACAAGGACAGGGUUCUGAAAGAAAGAGAAACGGAAAAGACCCGAGAACCGCUUUUGAUGAAGAUUCCCCCAGAAUGAGUAAUCUCUAGGGUCCGUUCCCAGCCCAAGAUUGAUGGAACCACCACAUCUGUUGAAGGAUGUUUUCCUGUUAUCCGCUUGGAGAGCGAUCAAAUGAAAUCCCACCGGGUAGGAAUGGAAGCAGAGGCCGGGGCGGCACCCAAAUCCUGGCGCCGGAGUUUGAGCCGCGGGACUGGAGCCUGACACCGAGGGCGGAGCCGCUUGGGAAAACCCAGAGCACACAUGAAAUUAAGGAUAAUGGGUUUUGAAGGCACUGACAACUCCGGAUUGUCCUGUGAACUUUAGGCAGAUCUGCUUCUAUAAAAUAAAGGUGUGAUGUUGAAAAGAAGACUUAAGUCAGACCCUCUAGGAGCCAACAUCUAGGAAGGAGGAGGAUGGAAUACUUUCCUUGCCUGCUUGCUGCCUGCCUCUGUAGACUCUUCAAUAAAAGAGCACUGGGCCCUGACCACAUAGCUCAGUUGGUCAGAGCUUCACCUGGAUACACCAAGGUUGUGGAUUCCAUCCCACCAAUGAAUGCAUAAAUAAAUGGAACAACAACUCCAUGUUUCUCAUCACUCUCUCUUACU